AUACAAUAUACGUGCUUAAUGUUUGAAUCUAAGUAUGAUCUACCGGCAAUGAAUUGAGGAAUCCAAUCGGAUAACAACUUUUUCAAAUAUUCCUUGGGAGAAUUACUUUGGUUAAUUCCCUCUUUCCCUUCCAACUGUUGUGUUCUGUGAUGACAUUGUAAAGAUGUAUGAUUUCUUUUCAGAAAGGAGAGAAAUGGCUAAAUGAGAUUGAAUUAAUGACAUUCACAGUAUCACAGUAUGUUUGGGAUUGGGAGGGACCUCAAAAGAUCAUCUAGUCCAAUCCCCCUGCUGGAGCAGGAACGCCUAAGUGAGGUUCCUUCAUUCAGUUGUAGUCUUUGCAUGAGAGUUGAUUGAUGUUUUGCCAUUUUCACAUCUUGUCACAGUCCUUGUCAUUUGAAUGAAUUGUCAGCAUUUUAAUGUCUUGAAUACUCUGUAAAUUUACUCUGUAAAUUGUAGAAUAGCUACUCCCACCUUGUUUAUAUACUGAAUUUUGAUGGACCUACCCAUUUUAUCUUCCUUUAGUUUGUAACUAUACUAGCUACUAAAGAAGUGAAAAAUAUGACCAGUCAAACCUCAAGUGUUUAAAACACAACGAUGAGUUAAUCUGUUGUCUUUCAUCAGUGGCAUGAGGUACUAUAUCCUAGGUCUAUUUUAAAUGAUGUGAAGAUUUAUAUGAAUCUGUUUAUCAGGUAGUUUUGUUUUGUAUGAUGUGAGACUAUCCUUCAACUGUGUACUAUUCUGCUUCUCUGUCUCUGAGACAAAGGAGAUAUAAAUGAGAAGUGAGAGUAUAGAAGAAGAGGCAUCAUGCCCACUAUCAGAUGGGAGAAAGGUUGCUGGGGCAAAAGGGGAGGUAAUGGGAGCUGUCAGGGUCACUAAUGUGUAGUGGAUCCAGAUGCAUGGUCUAUGUUUAGGAAAGGAAGGAUAAAACGGAAAAACAGGGAAAAAGAGAAGGGAGGGAAUAUGAGUGGAAAAAAGGAAAUUUUACCUUUGUUUCAACCUUGAGACUAAUACUGCUUAAAUUCUUCUCUUCUCAGCAUUUUUUACUCCUCUGUUUCCUUUUCCCUGUCUCUUUCCCUUUCUCAUUUUUUCCUCUGGAGGGGGUGUAAAAAGAAAAGGAAAAUUUAAAAAAAAAGGGGGGGAAAAGAAAUAGAGUGUAAUUUUCUUCAUAGUCUCCAGGACUGUGAGGGUUGCUUUCCCUUUCAUGUGUUAUGUUCUGGAAUUGCCUACAUGUCUGCAUUUCUGAUAUUGUCAGUAGUUGUGAUGAGGUAAAACUGGGAAGGUGACAUAUAUGUCUGGUUUGAAUUCUGUCUGUAACUCACCAUGUUUCUUAUAUGUGCAAAUAUAUUUUGUGUAAAUUGGAAUAUAUCAUGGGAAGUAUUUGGCAGGCAGAACUCAACAUGCAGUGAAACUGGUUUGAUCGUCAAAACACUUCGGUGUUAGAGAUUGCUCAUGUAUUACAAGAAUGAAACAUUUCUGAAUGUGUGGCCUGGAUUUUUAUUACCAGAACUUUUUUUUUGUUUUUUAAAGCAUAAGGAUUCUCAUUCUUUUAUUUUAUUUUUUUUUAUUAUUAUUUUUUAUUAUUUUUUGCUACAUCUGUGGGCUUUGGGGUGUGCUUUUUGUCAGUGCAGAGAGUUGAAAAUGCUUUUGAAUCUGCAUAGUAGCUUAUUAGGCUUAGCUGAAGAGGAUAACUACAGAACACAUCAUGUGAUGGAGACUUGAGCCUGAAAUAUCAAGUCAAGUGUGUCUCUUUAAUCUUAAAAAAAAAAGGUAUGUUGUUAAGUUGAAGAUAAACUUCAAAACAUAGGCUAGUAGAAAAUACACUGUUUAAUUUACUAAUCUAUAAUUAGUAAAAAAUUAUGUGCACCCAGAAGUUUCAGCUUUUUUAGAAAGUGAAUCAACAAAGUGAACAAGUUAGAGAGAAGUGUUUUUCAUUAUGUCCAUAUUUUUAUCGUUUUCACUCUGUGGAUCUGAGUAGGCUCACACUGAGGCUCUGCCCUACUUUAUCAGUCAGGUGGCUGAUUUUUUUUCUUCCACAUCUUUGAUUACACCACCACAAAAAUGAAAGAAGCUUCAUCAGAGUUUAGUUCUGGUCUGGGGACUUUUCCUAACUCUCAAGCCUGAAUGAAUAUUUAAGCAACUCAUAAUGCAACAAUUGUUAUUCUGAGGGAAAAAUAAAAAGCAAUACUCUACUGAACAUCACGGUAGCCUGAUGAAAAGGUAAUGGCACCGAUGCAGAAUAGAAUAAAAUCAAAUCCUAAUUGUUUUGGUCAAUUUGACUUGCCAACAAGUCCUGCUUUAAUCUCUGCAUAAAUUAGAAGCCUUUUCUCUAUUCAAAUUCCUGUGGGGUUGCUGUCUUUGGCUUCUGUCUACUUAAUUCAGCUCAGCUAGCAAAUGCUUUUGGAUAAUGUCAUGAUAUUUCCAUUAAAGAAUUCAAAGUUGGUGAGAAGCAAGGUGUCAAACUGCUAUUAUUCAGUCAAGAUGAGUUUCAGUGAUAAGUCUUUGGUUUGUCAGAUUCCUAAAGCACUGUAAAGAGUGUUAGUGAAUUAACUGAGGUGCAUGAUCCAAGGACAAAGCUGUUUACCCAGUGUACUUGCGGUCAGGCUACACUGUAAUUCAGAUUACAGGAACUGAAGUUUCAAGUUCUGGUCCUUUAUGCAAAAGGGUAUGCCAGUGAUUGCACCAGCUUUUGUGAGGAAGUGGGCACAGAAGGGAAAGAAGAAAGAUUAACUUUGACUCUUUCUUUCUGAAGGUAAGUUAGAUUGUGGGAUAAGUACUGAUUCAUGAAGUUAUGGUCUUCGUCUGCUCUUGGUUCAGCAUGUCCUGCUUUUCCCUUUUUUCUACUCCUAAAUAUAGUGUAUAAAAAACAUUCUUUACUUGAAAGCUGCUAAGUAUUGAGUCUAACCCCUACUUUACAGAAAAUCUAAUUCUCUCAGCAGAGAGCUUCCAUUUUGUUUUUCCUCUUUAUGGAGUGAAAGAUAUGUUAGCAUAAUGAAGAAUCUGUAUCUUCAAAAUGGAGUUGAUAAUUUUCACUAUUUCUGAACAACAGAAUGUAAUUGAAGUAAAAAAUACAAAAUCCCUGAAAGACAUGUAGUGUAGUUGAAACAGGUAGUUUCAAGUACAAACCAGAAGAAAUUAUGUACAACAACCAGAGGUGCAGAUCGUUAGUUGGUUUGUUCAGUCUAAAGGGUGCAAAGUCUUGAGCAUAUUAAUAAAAAAAAAAAAAAAGUACAAAGAAGCUUUUUUGAAAGGAUUUGUAACCACCUUUUGUAAAAACUCUACCGAAUACGUGCUUAGGUACCCUGGAAUUCACACAAAUCCUGCCAUUUAUCAAUCUGUGUGGAUAACCUUGAGAUGCUAUCAUCCUGAUUCCAGACAGCUGAAUUCUUUGGAGAGCGGGAGGGGGGAAGAGCUGAAGGGGAAGCAGUGUAAAAUGCAUAAGUAAGAAGAAAAGAAAUAAGAAAAAUGUUCUUUUCUGGAGAGCUUGAGUUAUAAGAUUAGAUUAUAGCUAGCAGAAUCAAGGGCACAUAGGCAUGGCACAUGAUGAUUAUGAUUUAUGGGAGCAUUAAAAAGGAAGAAAAUCAAUAUAUAUUCUAAAAGUUCUGUUUUGCUCAGAUUAAUCUAAACCCCUUCCUUGGGUUCAUGAUGACAGAGGAAGGCUGUGUUGAUAAGAACUUUUCCUUUCCCCCCUCACAACAAUAGUUUCAAUGACUGUUCAUGUACCAGUCCAUCUUAAGAAAAUGAAAUUUUGUGGCCUUUCAUUUUUAAAAAUAAAAGCCAGUAGGAACAAUUUGCUGUACGUUUAGGGUCAAUUGUGACAUUGUAUAAGCAUAUGCUACUCAUAAACAAAAUUAUAAUGUAGUACAUGAGGUUCUAUUACCAUGACACAAAACCAAAAGAUUAAUCCCUCCAUAAAAUGUAUUCUCCCCUUCAGCUCUUUCUGCCAGUUAUUUUCGUUGUUCUCAUGCCUAUAGCGAAGUCGUAUUUUCACCUGAAGAUCUGUGCUGGUUUUACUUUCAUAAUUUGGUGUGUUGUAGCUCUAAUCAGAUGUUUGUAGCCAGUUAAAAAAAAUAUAUAUUACACUUUUUUGUCUAAAUAAUGCUAUAUGUUGAUUUGGUAUGUUUUUUACGUGGUUGUCUGAAAAUAUUUUUUAUGAAACUCUUCUGGUUUUAUAUACAUAUGCAAAUAUAUUUUCUAAUAAUAUUAAAUCUAAUAUAUUUAGGUAUUACAGAAAAGAAAUAAUGCAAUUAUAAGAUAAAUGCAGCCACAUAGCCAAAUUCCUGCCUCCAUUUCUCCCGUCUUAUAAAUGUCAUACAAAGCAACAAUCAAUAUUCAGGACAAGGACAGGUAAAGACACAAUUAAGACAUUCCUAUUACAUAAAGAUGGUAAUGCUUUUUGACUAGAAUUGGUAAAUGCAGUGUAAUAUGCUUUUUCUUAAGUGUCCAUGUAGGCCUUGCUGAUACCUUGGUAUUUUAAAAUACUGUCUUUGAGGUACUUUGUUUCAUAACAGCCCCCUUUAAAAACAAACCAAACCAAAAACCUUCUUUAGCAGAAGUAUCUUAAAAAUAGACAAAUAAAUAGCUGUAUCACUGAAAUAUUUUUGUUCCUGGAGGACUAACUUCUAGAUAAUUAGAGUUCAGAGCAUACACCAAUUAAUGGGAACAUCUGAAGGAAAAAUAAAUGAUGGGAGAAAUUAGAUACACACACCAAAAAAACCUUACAGGAUAGGAUGUUCUACUCAUAUGAAAAAUGUUCUUUUCCAUACUUUGAUAUUUAGUUACAAGGUUUAACAUUUGUACAAUGUCUCUUAAAUGUCUCCCAAAUUAAAUUCAACUCCUCAGAAUGGCUGUAGGUAUAACUGCAGACUAUAGAACUUUAAUUACUGCACUGCAGAAUAUUAACAGAGAUGUGAACUAUAAAAUCUCCUUACUAACUUUGCUACUGAAAAAAAGAAUCUAUAUAUUUGUAUUUAUUAAUAAUAUUAAAAGUACAAGCAUUUAAAGAUACCUACAAAUGGCAGUAAAAUUUGUCUUAGAAGAAUAGUAAUGAAAGGAAAUAACGUAUCAAUUCUAUGAGCUAAGAUACUGGGAAACUGUCAUUGGAAAUAAAUUAUUUGUAAAUAUCAAUCAAUGAAGCUUCACAGUAUUUCUGUAGACUUGUGAAAUGGUAAUCUGUUUCUUCAUUUCAUCUCCUUUUUUGGUAUAAGCUAUGUGUGAUGGAGACAAUGACAAUAUAUGGAACAGAAAUAAGGGGUCUAUGUUGCCAGACCAGUCUUAGAACAAUGUUUAGACAGUGAGAGUUUGAAUUUGUUAAUAAAAGUUAAUUAGAUCCUAACUCUUAAAAUUAAAUCUCACUUCUCUUUUAAUACAAUUAUUUCUUAACAGCUCACAUAUAUCUUUACAAUUAAACUAGAUUUCAUGGGUAGGGUAAGUUGAGUUUGAAAAGUCUGCGUCAAACAAUAAUAGGAUUAAGGUGAGAAGAAAGGAUAGUUUAUGACAUACUGCCUCUCCAGACCGAUACUGUAGCUAUUAAAAGAUGCCUGGAAGCAAAAGGAGCAUAGAAGACUCUCAUAUUUCACAAUAAGUGUGUAGCUGAAUUCAUAGUGUCCUAGAAUCCACGAAAAACAGGCAAAGGGUAGAGGUUGGACACGAAUGUGUGCCUUCCUUUAAGCUCCUUCACAAUAGAAAUACAUCUACUCCCUAAGUGAGCAUGGAAGAUAAGUCACAACCCCAGUGAAUAACCAAUAUUUGGAGUCUUGUAUAAUACAAUUUGUGAACAGCCAGAUCAGGGCUUUCUUCUUUUGAUCACGGAAUGGCUGGAAAUUCAAGUAUAUUGUUCUAUCAGAUACAUUUCUGUUCAAAAAAUGUUAAUGUGUUUACCCUCAAAAAAAAAAAAAAAAAAAGACAGAGAAAUAUUGUCCCUAUAAUAAGCAGUAAACUAUGAAAAGAGGUAAAUAUUUUGAACAUUAAACAGGCAGGCUCUUUUCCAAAGUUAUGUCUUUUGUCCGUAUUCAGGCCUGAUGGUUGCAGUACUUCUGUAAUGAGAAGAAGCAGAAUUCUAAAACUGGAUGAGGUGUAAGAGACAAAGCUUUAUUCUAAGGGUUAUUUCAGAAGGUCAUUGUUUCCCUCAAUAAAUAAUUUCAUUUUUGUCUUAAAUAUAAUUUCCUAUUCUAAAAUGCAUACUUACAAAUUUUAGUAUUCUUCCAUAUAUUUGCAGGUUUUUUAAAUUAACAUAAGUAAUUCUUUUAAAUAACAAAUAGAGAAUAAUUUUGGGUUGAAGCAGAAUCUUAAUAAAUGUAAUAGCAAAAUCUCAUAGAUUGUCCAAGAAUGCUUGUUCAAGAAAUGUGUGGGGAUAUUUGAGGCAGACUGAUUGUAAUUAAUUGCAUGAAUUUAGAGAACCUGAGAGACCAGAAUUAGAAGGAAGAACAUUAAAUUCUUUUGCAAUGCAAAGAUCCUGAAACAUAGACACUCAUCAACUUUCCUGGUAUUCAUGGUUCUUUUAUAGUAAUUCUCAUUCUAUUCUAGCUUUUAGUCAGGUUUAAAGUCUUCGUUAAAGAUUACAGCUUCCUGAGGAAUGAUACUUUUUAAGAGCAUGAAAAUCAAGGUAGUUUUGUUUGUGGAAAUUAAUAAUUGAUGUCAGGUAUUGGAGAGCUAAUGUAUAACAAUGAAUUAUAACUUGAUGUUUUCUGUUUUUUGUUCUUUUGGGUGGAAGUUACAUAUCUGACAAACUAAUUCAUCAUUGAUUCUUUCAGAUAACGAAGAAUAAUUGGAAUUGUCUGUUACAGGACCUUCAAGAUCAAGAAGUCUCUUAUUCAGAGUGUAUUUUGUUAUCUCACACCAUAGGAUGAGCUCAGUAAUUAUAUUAGAGGUAACAUCCAUUCUGAUUUUGUCUUAAUUUAUUGGCAGUGUUUCUCCCUCUGAAUUUUACCAUCAUCAGCUGGAAAUAACCAGGUAUAUUCACAUUUUAGAUCAUUCAGUCCAUGUUUUACGUACUCCAGAUCACUUGCUACACAUUUAGUAAUGCACAUUUUAUAUUUUCAAUACUUCUUAAUCAGUUUCACUGAGAAACCUAAAAUAUGCACUAAGCAACUUAUUAUUCCAUUUUGAACUCUGGAAUAACAAGAAACUAUUCCAAAUACUUUGAUAUUUCCACUCGUUAAGGAAUACAUGACCAGAUAAAAUCAUGACCAAAUUCUGUCCUGCUGUAAUAUGUCAAAACAGCAAUUUCUUGAAAAAAGAACAGUGUCAAGUAUGACUACAGAUAUUCCUUUCCUAGUGUUCUCCAAGCACAGUUGAAGAGAUAGAGGAAGGAGUUGAGAACUUAACACAAAGAAUGUGUUACUGAAAUACUAUCAGGUGAAAAAAACGUGGAAAGUGUGCUAUGUAAACUUAAGAUUUAUACUCCUAGGUCUUCCAGGCCUCUCAUUUUUAAGAGUUUACUUGGAAUAUUGAUUGAAAGUAAGUUUAACUAUGAAGUGUAAUGCUAUUGAGCUUGAUCUGUUUUUUUUUUUUUUUCCCCAACUUGAAACUUGUAUUGCUAAAAACAGCAGUUAAUACAACAUAGAGUUCAAAACCGCUUCAGUGUUCUUGUCACAUUUAUCACUGUACAUUGAUAGUUGCCUUCUCAGAUAAACAGUGCAAAAUGUGAGUAAAAAUUUGCUUUAGAAGAAAGCUACCGUUCACCCUGCUGAAAUGAAGACUAAUAAACCUACAGCUUUCUACAUUAUGAAGAGUCAUGACUCUUCUAAUGCUUAUAUUAGUCCUGUGUUUUGUUUGCACUUCGUGAUGAUACUGUGUUUUAUUUGUUCUCUGUUUUCAAUUCUCUCAGCUGUGUAUUGAGAUAGCCUGAAAGAAAACACUUUAGUCUUGUGUCAUUAAUUUUUCAUCCCCAGUUUGCUUAAAUUGUAUCCUAAAUAUUUCAUUUGCUGCAAUAAUAAGAGGAGAUGAUGACAUAAUAAUAAAAAAAAAAAAAACAAACCAAAAAAAAAACAACAAAAAAACCCCACCAUUGCAUAAGUUAUAUUUCUUGAAUGUCAGAGAAGAUGACCUAAAUUUUGAAUGCCUAUGAUGCAUGUGAGAGCUGCUGGAUUAAUAUGCUUGGGUACCACUACAGCUUUUUGCCAAAGAAUGACAAUGAUUAAUCACAAGAGGAUGGCAUCAAGAGAAGCAGAAGUGGUUGUCCAGUUCCACGAGUUUCUUUAAUUAUGUUUUUAGACUAAGAAGGUCUAUGUGCAGGAUCAAUUUUUUGUCUGAUAUGUUUGUAACAGUUUUAAAAAUGCUUUUGAUUUUCAAGGCAUCAGCUUAAUUCAAAUAGUAUAUAUAGUGCAUACUCAUUUCAAAGGCAUUUGAGGUAGGGGGAAAAAGAAAUGUCAGCUCAUUCUGUCUUUCACUGACUACUCCUGUGAGGAGUUUUGACCCCCACCAAGUUGGACUGAAAACUGAACUAGUGACAGAAAUUCCUUGAUUCUACAUUUUGUUUGCAAUCUCUUCUUUGAAUUAUGUAUUUGUAAGUGCUGAGCUUUUCAAUAUAAAUAGUAGAGGGAAGGAAUGGCAAUUGCAGCUUGAUUUUAAAAAAAAAAUAAAAAUAAAAAAAACUCCACAUACUUAAAACUAAUGUAUUAUUUCCAGCCAAAGUUUUAUUGUCCUCCCAUCACACAAAAGAAAGCAAAAAAAAACCACAAUCAGUGAAAAUUGGCAAGAAUUUUAACAGUAUUUUAUGAAAAGAGUUGUUACUUUCCAGCCACUUUAAUGUAUGUUGCUCUGUCAGUAUCUGGACUGCAGGUAAGUGCAGAACAAAGGAGACAAAGAAUGGAACAAGAAAAGAGAAAAUGAAUCAUGGUCUAUUUCUUCACUGAAGCUAAGGUAGGAUACCAACAGUGAUGACUUCAUUUGCUCUGCUUCAUUGAUGCAGUGUCAGUAUUGCUGACGUGGCAGGGAUUUGGAUGUAAUGACCAUGCCUAAAUUCAUGCUUGAUGUUUUGUUUUUUUUUUUCUGCUUUGUAUUUACAUAAAGGCAGCAUAACUUUCCAGAUGCAAACAGAGCAAAACAGAAGCAGAGUCCUGAGUCACUGAUGUCCUCCCCCUGCUCACCUUGCAGCGUUUUAUUGAGAAGUGUCGAGCUAUUGGGGAGGAUAUCCUUGAAAAGUUAUGUUGUUCCCGGUGAGUUAGCACAUAAAUUAAAAAUCAUAUUGCACUUUCCAAAUAAGCAAAUGAUACUUUCAGAGUUCUGGCCAACAUGAACUUUACAAAUAAAACAAGUAGUGGAAGAUUGUAUAUGAGCCAUUGUAGAAUACGCUGUAUUACGGCAGUUACUUUUAUGACCCUAAUCUUUGUACAGCCAGGUGCAAAAGGUAUAAUAUAUGCAUAUACACAAAACAAUAUUUUAUGCUGUAAGCACAUACUUCUGGUAACAGUAAACUCAAUAAAACUGAUAUUUUCUUAUUUGUUUUCCUUCAUAAUUUAAGGAGCUAAGUAGGAUUCUGUGUUUUGCCAUUCUUGAUAUUUGAUGUUAAAAAUGCUGUGGAGCACUAAGAGAAAAUGCUAACUAAUAAAAAAAGCUAGUAUUAGCUUUGAAAGCCAUAACUGUGGUUAGGCAGGCCAGACACAUAUGUUGUGCUGUCAUUUGACACCUAUAUAAUGGCUAAUUCCUGCAUAGGGCUUAACACAGUAAGACGCCAAACAUCUUGUGAAAGGUAUCGAAUGUCUCCAAUGCUUAGUAGCUCAGUAAAAGUUUAAGACAAUUCUCAGUUUCAGUGUUAGCCUCUUAAUGCAUUGAAAAGAAACAGGCAUGCUACCUUUUACUAAAAAUAACUAUACAGAAAGCUCAUUAUAAUUCAAACAUGUCUCCUGAUAAAAGAGGAUAAGCCUAUUUCAUAUAGGCUGUAAUUAUUUCAAUAUUUAUUUUGCUUUUCUCCUCCCAGUCCCUUUUGUUGUCUCCUUCAGAGCCUUCCUAAUGGCAAGAAAUAUAGUGGCAGAUGAAUCUGGGUAAAAAAAAUUCUGUUUUUUCUUUAGCAAUAUCUGUGAAACUUCCUGUAUUUUUUAAGAGAAUUUGACAGAACUAGUAUUCACUUUAAAAGAAAAAAUAAUUAGGCUAAGGGGAUUAUAUAACUUAGCAAUGAAUCCCCAAAAAUAUUUUUAUGGACAAAGCACAAUGUGAUGUAAUUUAAAGCUGUUAUGUAGUGCUCAGAGAAGCCUUCCAGGUUUGUUUUGAUGGGCUUACAGGACUUAAAAUUUUAAAAUAUGCUCAGAUGGAUCUGAUUUUAUAAUGAUCAAUAUAUCUGUGAAAACAGGUCAGGCUCCAGCUCCUUUGUCAUCCUAUGUGCUCACUGUGUGACAUGGAUACUGGAACUCAAAUUAGGGCUAAGCUCUGUCUCUGUAGUAAUGCAACUCUGCUUUUAAAGGGACAAGUUUCUCCUUUUAAAGCUGUUACACUCAUAGAAACAAAAGAACGUGAAAAACAGCAGAAGUUUUAAAUAAUGGAAGAAAGAGAAUAUACUUUGCUAUGUACCAUUAGAAGAAAAUUGGACGAGAAAUGUUAUUCAUAUUGUAGUCUUAUCUGCCUUGAGAAAUGAAAAACGGACAAACAAACAAAACCAACAACAAACCACAACAGUCUUUCUUGGAGUUAGGCUGUGGUAAACCUCAGUUACACAGAAAAGUCUCAGCUAGUCAAGGCAAUACAGGUAAUAUGUAGUCUCAAAUCCAGAACAAACUGUAAUUUGAUGCAAGAAGUCAAGAACUUAUGUGGACAUUUUGUGGAUAUGAAGAAAACUCAAACAAGCAAUUUCUAAUUAGCAGACAAAAUGGUAUAUAAAGGAAAAUCAGUUAAUUUGGCUUAGAACUAAGUUCAUCAAUCUACUCAUCUCUAGGGUAAAGUCAUGUUAUGUCCAUGAAUUAACUCCUGGACCCUGAAUUGUCCUGUUUCAAAUGUUGUAUUGACCAUUAAUUGUAUUCUACUGACCACAAAAGCACUAUAUCUCAAAAGUAAUGCAAGUAUUAAAUAAAAGGCUUUUUGCUCUGCUGUUACAAAUUGCCUGAGAGAAAUACAAUCCAGUAAGUAUCUCUAGUUUACAGGCUAUGAGUUAAAAUAAGGGUAGAACUGUGGUGCUCCAUAUGUAUUGGAUUUGCAACAGAAAGGUUUUUCUCUUGGUGUGAGGCAGCUGUAACCUUGUCUAGGGUGAGGUGUUUGUCUGCAUAAGCGGUGGAAGCCAUUUUUAGGGAUUAUUGAUUCUUCUGUGGAUACACUGGGGUCAGAGAGGUGCAGGGGUGAUAAAAUGAGAUCGUAACCUAGAGCUGAUGAGUGAUGUAUGUUAAGUUUAGUCAAGACAGGAUAAACUUUAUGAGAAGUAGGAGAAGAGGCAAAAGCAAGGUGGAGCCCCUGCUGGAAGAAACAAGAAGAAUAUUACAGUGUUUCUUUAUCAGAAGUUGAAAGGGUCAGAAAAGGACAAAAUAAGACAAAGAUACAUGCACUGCAAUGUGGUGAAAAGAAGUAGCUGCUGAUGUCAGAAAACAUACAGAUAGGUCAGGAAAAGAAUUGUGUGUUGCACCUUACUUAGCCAACCCAGAGGUCAGAAGAAGGAAACCAUGUGUUAGGUCACUAGCUUGAGUUAAGAAAUGUCAUGUUUUUGGCUUCAUCAGGAUGAACAAGCAUUGCAAGGAUGAAAUUCCAAGUCCACAGUUAUCUUCAUAUUUAGACCAGGAAGGCAGAUAGGUGUGACCAGCAUCCAGUUCUAGUUGGGAAGGCUACAGUAGUUCAGGAUUUCAUUGAAACUGCAGUAUUGAUUGAACCCAAGUAGCUGAAACUGCUGGUAGAUAACCAUUAAGAUGAAAGUAGUGUAAUAGUGCCUGAUAAUUUUUAAUGACAUGGAACAAAGUCCCUGAAGCGAGUCUUAUCUGAAGAUGAGAAAAAAAUCAAUAGAGUAGCUUGAUGAGGUUUGUUUGGGCUACAUCAGUGCAUGGUCACUUGUAUUUUAAUUAGACGAAAAAUAUCAGAUUAGAUGGCCUUUUUCUGAUUGUUUCUAUUUACUGAAGGAAACCAGUAUAUAAAGACUAAUUUUAUUUCUACUUUUUGUGACAUCCAAAUUUCCUAAAUUUAAAAAUCUUCAGAGGACAAAUUAUUAAAACAAAGUACUUUGUUAAGAAAUCAAAUAAGACUACGCUUACUGUUGGUUCUUUAUUAAACCAUGUAUCUUGAUUAUACCUCAGUAAUGUUACCAUUUCUAUCUGGAAUGGUUUAAGAAUGUUAAUUGAACUUUAUUAGUUUCCUAAGAUAAUAUUGAAUGUAAAACUAAUCCUGCUGAUUGAAUGUUACUGCAAGUUGUAUUGAAAACUAGAGACUUUUUCUACUUAAUAUGACAAACUUUAGGCCUUUCAGGUUUAUGGAUGGCUGAAUUUUAAAGACAAAUUGCUUUUUGUCUUUUAAAUUCCAAAACACAAAAUAAAGCUUAAAGCAAAACCAACACCUUUUAUUUUAAGAUUUCACAGUGCACAUCCAUGGAAAAUUAUCUUCUCUUCAAGCUGCAAAAUUUGAACAGUUUCCCUUGGGCGACCUAGAAGCUGAAUGGGGCUAUGUCAUAAAUUCUAAAUGCGUUUAUACAUGUUAACCUAUUAGCAAAUUAUCUGUGAGACUUUUGUUUUGUUUUAGUCUAAGGAACUCCUUCGAUCUAUGAUAAUUGAAUUAUCAUGCUUAUACACAAUGCUUAAUGGAUCACCAUGUUUUGUUCUUGUUCUUCUGUUUUGUUGGUUGGUUUGUAUGUUUGUUUUGUUUCUUUUUUUUCCCCGUUUUUAGAGCUUGGUCAUUUUACUUAAAAUUAAUUUGAGGUUUAAUAAAUAAUGCUUCCAAAAAUUCUUCUACUGCUGUAAGCUUGAUUUUGUUGUUGUUGUUUUUGUAUGUGCAGAAGAUCCUUUCCUCACCUGAAGGAGCCUCUUUUCAAGAAAUACUCAGGCAAAGUUUCUUUGUUUAUUAUGUAUUAGUCAGGCUCUUAUGAAUUGUUCUUAGCUGAAAGCAGAAACAAGUUUAGCUGUCUCCUAUGGUUUUCUGAAAUGCCGUGUGGUAUUUUAGCCAAUUGAUCUUGGUAAGACUCAGUCUAUCCAGAGCAAUGCCAAGACUUUGAAUUGUCUCCAUAUUAUAUGUCUGUGUUUUCUCAAAUUCGUUGGCAAAAGGAACAGUAUAAAAAAAGUUUCUGUGUUGUUCAAUAUAUUUAUUUUUGCCUUUUGUGUAUUACAACCUAUAUAGUGAAAAUAAUGAAGAUCACAACUUUUUAGUGUUCUUUGCAUUCUGGUACUUAUUAAAAAGUGAUUAAUUCACUUUCAGAUGCAAAUUUGAUGGACUUGUGUUUUUAUGUUACAUCAUGGUCUUGCAGCAAACAAUUAUUUCAUUUGUGACCAAUGCAAGAGGAAAGGUCACCACAGAAUUGUGAUAACAACUGUAAUAUCUUUUAAGCAGAGUAUGGGGCAUGACUCAAAGCGCUUUUUUAAUAUAAGUAAAAAAUAACAGCAGUUGAAUAUUUUCGUUAUUCCUUUGUGUUUUUUCUAUAAAUAGUGCCGUGUGUUAAUGAAAUGCAGCCUUGUUUUAAUUGAAGUAAUCAUGUAAUUGCAUUACUUUUACAUUUCAUAGUUGUGUGCUUAUAGUUGUAGCCCAGAACAAAUACAAACUCUUCUUUAUCUUACCAGAAGUGUGCAGCAUUUGUAUGCAGAAAAAAAAUCGAAUGUUUACAAUAGAAUGUCACAUUUUUGCAUGCUUUACAUUUCAGCUCCUCCUUUAGGUGUUACAUAGACCAUGUUCUCAUUCACACUGAAGUGUGAAUGAACAUAUACAUUAUUGGACAUAUAGUACAUUGUGAAAGUUAAAACACCUACAUUUUAGAGAAUACGAAAUGACUGAAUUAUCAGGUGUUUCAUCGUAUGAGGUUUGUAUAAUUAUUUCCAUAUGGUAUAUGAUAAAAGCUGUUGCAGCCAAGGGCUAAUAAACUGUUCCUUUAAUUCCAGAUGGCCCAAUUUGUGCAUCUGCAUUAAUAUUAAAAAUUUAAGUUAUUUCCUUUAGAAUCAGCUGAACAGUGUCCUGGGGAAUGCCUCUUCUGGGCUGAUUUUCCUGCUGCAGUUCUCCUGUCUUUUUUUUUCCACAUGCUCACUCACAGGCUUUCAGUUGGGGAACUGCUUAUGAACAGAUACUGGAACAAGAAAUUUACAUGCAGAUUUUGAGUGAAGUUUCAUUUUAGGUGAGCUUAACCACCUUAUUUCUAGCCAAAUGGAAACAUAAAGGCUGAAAAAUAUUUAAGUGAGCUUAAUCUGAGUAUAUGGAAAACGUAUGCAAAUUACUACGACAAAUUGUUUUUGUAUUAAACUUUUCUUGCAGAAAAAUCUUUUGAGUAACAGAUUAAAAAUACCUUUGCAGGUAAAUGUUCUGUUAAACCAGUAUCCUUUAGAAAGAAGCUCAAGUAGUAAGUAUUUGAAAUGUCUCUUGUUUCAUUCUCAGAAGAAAAGCUUGUAUCUCUGUUCUAUUUGGGGUAAUUUUUAAUAAUUUCUUAGUAUGUUAGAAGAAAAAUACUGUUGAUUGGAGUGCUAUGCAUUCUUUAUAACCACCUGAGGAUAUUGUCUGGUUCUUUCUAAAGCAUAUAAACUAACAUAAUGUUUAUCUCUCCCCAACCAAAAGCUGAGUGCAAAGUGGGUAUUAUUCCCAUAAUAAAGGGAAAAAAAAUCUGCAUUUAUUUUUAGUAACAGUUGGAGUCAACAGGCUGUUCUUAUGACCAUCCCGGUUCAUUUCUUCUGCAGAAUAAAUAUUUUAAUGUUAUUGUCAGUCAGGAUUUAAAACAGCAACCAUAUAAAGGCUUUUUUUCCAGACAUGUUUUUCUGAAUAUCCCACUGUUUUGCCCUGCAGCCUUUUCUGAAAUAAGACUUGUCCCAUUUGUGCUCCCAAGUGCAAUUAAUAUUAGAUGCAAUUUGAAUAACUAUAUGUUAUGGUUCUUUUUCAUGCCUUGCCUUGAAAAAAAUUCUUAAAUCUUACUCUAAAUUCUUUGCAAAGAGGCCAUGCUACUCAUUUUUUGAAGUCCAGGUCAUUAAUUAACAAGCUUUUCUUCCAUUGUCUGCUAAUUUUCCCUGAACUCUUUUUCGCACAGAUGAGUGGAGACAAGAAGAGAUUAUGGUGAACCAGGAGUCUUCUGACAAAUUUUUUCUGCAUCAGAAAAUGUAAAUUUGUCUCUAUAAAACAUUUUUGCAGUAAAAAGCACCUCAUUUUUGUAGGAGAAGUUUCUUACAUUUAGGAUGUAUUUGUACAUAAGAAGCUUUAAUCAAAAACUGUUCUUGCUCUCUUAAGUUUUUCAGCUCUGCAACUCUACACAUGUUUGUGGAGUCUUCUUUAAGUCUGAACCUGUGUCUGGAGAAGGUUGCAACUUCUCUGAGAAAAGCAGAUAUGGUUCAUGACACUUACAAGCUCCCCUUGCCCAAAUAGCAGUCUGUGUGUCCUGUGAGAAGGACAGAACUGUGUUCUUCUCUGAACUUUUGGGCUUUUUUCAGUAUAGCUUCCAGCCCAGCAUGGUAUCCUGUGCUUGCAAUUUGACACUGAUGUUUGUAUGACAUGACUUGAAAACAGUGCUUCUGGAUAUGUGAAUGAAAUUAUAAUCUUUAUUGGAGGGUUCAUGUAAGUUACAAUUGAAGAUCCUUUAGGAAGAAAGGACUUUCUCCUUACCAUUGGUCCUACCUAGAUAGAAAACAUCUGCCAAAGACAGUGAAAAGUCUAAAUUCUCAUCACUGUGUGCUUAACUGACAUUGUGUCUUCUUACAGGAAAGAAGCUGGCCUGUUCUAAUCAUAGUUAAAUGUACACAGAUGAAAAUACAAGGUUGAAAUGAUGUAAAAAUAACAUAUAAGAUCCUAGAAAAACAAUGUUGGAAAAAGGUAACAUAAAUGAGCAGCUUAGAGAAAAACAGUUAUAUCUUCCCAAUUCAAUGAAAAGUAAAUCCCCCACUACCACUGAAGAAAACAAGAAAAAGGAAGUGUCUAUUAUUUUGAAUGCAACAAAUUAUGAUUUUUUUUUUUUUUUAUCUUAAAACUUGAGUGUUUUCCUUGUUUAGGGCAAAAUUAGAAAUUAUGUCUAGGUAAACAGUGGCAUUGUUCUUCAUUAUUACUGCUGCCUAUUAGUAGAUUUACAUAGUUCACUAAGUACCAAUUACAUUCACCAAAGCUGUUGACAUUAACCCCUGAGUAUGUGUUAGAAGAGAUAAGGAUAAAGUGCAGGUAAAUAAGGAGAGCAGCUCUCUAUUGAUCUUGCAGAGUAGAACAAGUAGGCUGGAUAAUCUGUUGAAUGCAUUGUAUGAUGAAAAUAUUAUUUCAGAAUAAGAAAGCACUGAAAAGUAUUACUGAUCUUCCCUGACAAAAAUGAAUACUUUAUUUCAAAUGUCUUGCUUCACCCCACCCCUGUGUGAACUGAAAUAUGCAAAGCACUACGUUACUUUUAUCAUACGUCCAUAUAAAAUAUUUUGCCCUAGAAAAAAUGUCAUUCCUGGGUGAGAUAACUAAUUAUUUUGAACGUUAAGAUACUCUCACAAAGCUUUGAAGUGAUAAAAAACCAUGAUUUUUUUCACUUUUAACCAAAAAAUUAAUAAAACUUGCAGAGAUAUACAGAACAGUAAUUAAUUAUGGUGCCUCUGGGUUUUAAAAAUACCGUAAUUUUCUAAUUACGAUGCCUCCAAAGUCACAUAUUCUGAUUUGCUCACAGAUACAUGAGUAUAAAUUUACUAAGGUUAAGAGAGGUAAUACAUAACUCCAGGAGAAGGAAAAUAUAUCCUGAAAGGAUUACAUGUCACACACAUAACAGAUAAUAAUGUAUCGUAAAAUCAAAAUAUAUUAAUUUUUAUGAUAGACAUUGGAAUGAAAUAUUGCAUUCUCUCUGUCUAGGUUUGGAAAAAUGUCUAGCAUAUGUAUUUGAAGAAGGAAAAAGGAAGAGACAAAGAGGGUUAAAAUGUGAUCAUUCAUCUUAAAUAUAAUUUAGAACAAUUUCAGAUUUUCCCUGUGUUGUUGCAAAUGCUGAAAUAAGGCCACUUCAUUGUUCAGGUCCAUUCUGUUCUCUCACACUUGUUACAGGUGCCGUGUUCAUGAUUAAUUGCUCUAGGCAAUUGUGGGGAGGUGAUAGAAAGCCAAAAAAAUCUGGGGAUUAUUCUGAGUUUGUUUUGAAAGCCACCAUAUUACUUUCUUUCCUUCUUUUGUGACAAGACAGAUUAUUCAUAAAGAUGAAAAUAGCUCAUAUAACUCUUUUUGUAGCUUUAAGUGAUACCUCCUUGAUGAUUUCAAUUUUAACAACAAAAAAUGUAUAUUUAAUCUCCUUUGGUUUUGUGAUACUGCAGAGCCAAAUUAUUUAAUUUGGUAAGGUGGCAUAAAUGUAAAACACAGACAUUAUUUUUUAUUUUUUUUUAAUAACGAUAUCCUAAUAUUUUUAAGAUAUUUUGUCUGCAGUGUUCUUAACUAAUCCUGUGUCAUCACCUGAAAACUAUCCCAAACCAUUCCCAGAUUUCAAUUUACUUUACUAACUAUAUAUAGGAUAUACUUACAAACUCACCUAUGCAGUGUUUUGUUUAUGUGCUGACCUUGCCAAAAUGUAUGAGUUAUUGGAAUACAGAAUAAAAAUAAUUAAAAUUAAUGGUUAUUUUCUUAAAGGCUAAGGUUACUAUUUAAAAAAAUAUAUUGACUUUUAGUUGAUAAUCACAGAAUCACAGAAUGGUUAGGGUUGGAAGGGACCUCUGGAGAUCAUCUGGUUCAACCCACCUCCUAAAGCAGUUACACCUGGAGCAGAUCUCACAGGAAUAUGUUCAGAAAGGUUUUGAAUGUCUCCAGAAAAGGAGACUCCACAGCCUCUCUGGGCAGCCUGUUCCAGUGCUCUGACACCCUCAAAGUAAAGAAGUUUUUCCUCAUAUUCAGAUGGAACCUCCUAUGCUUCGGUCUGUGCCCAUUGCCCCUCAUCCUAUUGUUGGGUACCACUGGAGGGAGUCUGGUCCCACCCUCUUCACAUCCACCCUUGAGAUAUUUAUAAACACUGAUAAGGUCCCCUCUCAGCCUUCUCUUCUCCAGGCUGAACAGACCCAGCUCUCUCAGUUUCUCUUCGUAAGGAAGAUGCUCCAGACCCCUAAUCAUCUUUGUAGCUCUACACUGAAAAUCCUCCAGUAACUCCUUGUCCUUCUUAAACUGGGGAACCCAGAAUUGGAUGCACUAUUCCCAAUGCAGCCUCACCAGGGCAGAGUAGAGGGGUAGGAUAACCUACCUUGACCCACUGGUCACAGUCUUCUUGAUACACCCCGGUGUAUCACUGGCAUUCUUGGCCACAAGGGCACAUUAUUGAUUCAUGGUCAACCUGUUGUUGACCAGAACUCCCAAGUCCUUCUCUGCAGUGCUGCUUUCCAGAAGGUUUGUCCCUAACCUGUACUGGUGCCUGGGAUUACUCCUCCCCAGGUGUAGGACCCUACACUUGCCCUUGUUAAACUUCAUUAGUUCCUUCUCUGUCCAGUCCUCCAACCUCUCCAGGUUACAAAUAUCAAAUUAUGUUUGUUAUAGUAAGUCAUAAACUUAAGGCAAUUUAUUAAAUAUAUGAGUCCGUAACUGUACUGAGCACAGAGUACAGGGUUGUCUAGUUCUGUAGUGUACAAUGGUUCAGUCGUUAGAAAAGAAGAUUUGGAAAAAGGAACUGUUUAUUGGAAGUAACCAGUAUUUUUUUCCCCCUCCUUCUGAGUCCUCAAAGGAUAUUUCAAACCAACUGACAAGAUCCAAGAAGGUAGGUAGAGUAUUUCAAGGUUUGGCAUUACUUCAACCAUAUGAGAAAUAGUAAAGUAGGUUUCAGAUACUGAGAUCGCUUUCACAGGGCACAAGUAAUGGAAGCAUCAUCAAAUGGGAGCCAAAAGCAGCCACUAGGAGAGCUAGGAAGUGUAGAAGAAAUUCAGCUUCUUCUAGAAGACCUUAAAACUGUUUGGAAAUACUAAUAUGAUGUCUCCUGCAGAAGUGUAGGAGACCCUUGUAUGUGUGGGUUCUUCAUGGAUCUAGGUCUCAGGCUAUACUAAUAUUCAUAAUGUGAUUAGUUGUAAGACUGCAUGUACGUAGGUGGGGAUACAGUCCCUCAAAACCCUUCUUAAUCACCUUUUUAUAUUAUAUGCUAACUGCUUUUGCAGAGUUAUGGAGGUGGGUUAUGAAAAUACAUAUUUGAUCAAGCCUCUUUGAGUUACAAAGAGAGAACAGUUUUAAAUUCAGGACUCCCAGCUAAAAUCAGGUAUAAAUGAGAGCCGUAUGCACAAUGCUGUAGGCAUUCUACUUCAGAAGGUAGAUUUUAAAACCAUGAAUGAUGCAUCAUGAUCUUCUCCAUAUGAUCGAGUUUGAUUCUCUGAUGGCUCCUGCUGUUUUGAAGCUUCUUAAGGAAUUCAUGAACAGAUGUAAACCAUUAAAAGAUGUUCACUGAACUUUGUGUUUAGUUAAAUGUUUAUGUGCAUCUUCCAUUUCAUCAGGAUCUCUGCCUAUGGUAGAUACUUGCAGGAGUAGUUGCAUUUUUGAGGUUUAUAAAAACCUCUGUGAUACUCAUACUACUAAUUACCCAAUGAAGAACUGAUAUUUCUAAAUUCAGUCUAAAUGAAUGAAACUGCUUUGCUGGUAAUUCAAAUGUUCAUGAUCUGUUUCUUAAUUUUAGAAGACGUUUAUCCAGUCAUGCUUGAUUUGAUUCACUCCUAUGUUUCAGUUGAGGAAGCAUAUGAAGUUCUAUAAACUGAAAAAGUGAGCAAGAACCACUAAGGAAAUCAGGUUGUUUAAAUGAAAAAUCUUCAUUUAUUGUUCAUUAACAGAGAUAAAACUCAUUGCUGGUCAGUUGGUGAAGGUUUUGGAGAGGAAGCCAUAUGAGGAGCAGCCAAAGUCACUUGGUUUGUUCAGCCUGGAGAAGAGGAGACUAAGAGGAGACCUGAUUGUAGUCUACAGCUUCCUCACAAGGGGAGGAGGAAGGGCAGGCACUGAACUCUUCUCUUUAGCAACCAAUGACAGAACCCGAGGGAAUGGCAGGAAAAUGUGCCAGAGAAGAUUUAGGCUAGCCAUUAGUAAAAUGUUCUUCACCCAGAGGAUGGUGGAGCACUGGAACAGGCUCCCCAGGGAUGUAGUCAUGACCCCAAGCCUGACAAUAUUUGAGAGUGGACAAUGCCCUCAUACACAUGAUGUGAACUGUGGGGUUGUCAUAUGCAGGGACAGGAGUUGGACUCGAUCAUCCUUGUGUGUCCCUUCCAACUCAGGGCAUUCUAUGAUUCUAUAACUUGUAACAAAGCUAUUAUAUAUACUUCUCUGAUUCUCUUAGAAGUUGAUUUUAGUUAGCGUGGUGUCUCAGUACAUUAGUCCAAGUGAAAUGCCACAGGACAGAGAUAACAUCCAAUUGUUUGGCUGAAAAUAAUUUCUGUUAAAGUUGGAACAAAAGGCAUAAGAAAUACCAGAUCAUCUUUAAUAAAUCUUACAAUAUUACAAUGAAUCUUGGAAUGCUAUGAACCAGCUUUUAAUGUGUGCAUCUCCACUAAGGCAGAAAAUUGCACUGGGGAAAAAAUACCCAACCUGUUUCUGCUCCAUUGCAACAGUUUCACAGAUGAUGCUUUGCUUUGAAUUUGCAUUAGAAAAAAUUUAACAUUACUGACACUUUGACUGUAUAUGAAUUCUGAUAUAGUAUGCUAAUUAAGAGUUGAUUUGGUUACAUAUAUAUGUAUGUUCAAGAGGAGUCAGAUUUCUUUAUAAAUUACUAUUCUCAGACAUUUCUGCCUCUUAUGAACAUCACUGAUUUCUUUGCGUAUCAUUCAAGGAGUACAAGUGUAAUCUUUAGAGUAAAAGAAUAGGUGAAAAUUACCUUUUUUUUUUUUUUUUCUUAUUACAAUCACCAUCACAAAUUUUUCUUGGUUUACCAGUUCUAUUCUUGUUACAGUCUCUGUCAUAGGAACAAGAAUGGAAUUUUAAUGCCAAUGCAGGCUGUGAAAUGCUAAAUCGCUGAGUGGCUAAGUUACUAGAAUGUGAUGUAUCAGGUCUGGAAUGUAUUUAUGGGUUCUCCAAAAUAUAACAGAAAAUAAAAAAGGGAAUCAAAUGAGCAGCACUGAAUAGAGCAGAACAUUAGAUUUGACUAGUGAGGAGCUAAGAAAUACGUUUUUGGGUUAGGAAGAUUUCCUUGAACUCUUUCUCUUCUGUCUUUUCCCUGCUGAUUAUGUUGCGGAAGCUAAUAUAAUUACCAACAGGCCUCCUUCAGAAUGGUAUUGAUACCAUACUAUUGGAAUUCGAGAUACAACAACUAAAACCAAAAAUAAAUUCAUAGCCCAUGUAAUUCUGCUUUCAGUUGUAGUAAUGAAUGGAUUUGGCACAUGAUAUGAAUUGCACUAGGGUAUUCAUAUGUUUCCCUAAUAUUUUCUCAAAAACAUGUGAAUAAUUUUAUUUUUUAUUUUAACUCUUCCUGUAUGUUGUAAGAUAUCUUCAAUUAGCUAUCAUUGCUAAUAGAAUACUUAUGGUCACUUGCUACUCAAUUAUAAGUAUGUAGCCAUAAUAAUUGUGGUUAUUUGUGUUAUGAGGGUUACUUCAGUUUUAGACAAUUAUAAUUCAGAUAUGAAUUUGACCAUUAAGGGGAAUUCUGUUCUUACUCAGUGGGUAACACUCAUUGAUUUUUAUGGAAGUAUCAUUUUGUUCUGUGUGCUGUAGGCAAUUGCUUAAUCUAAUUUAAUGUGUUUCAAUGGCUGAAAUAUUUCUUUAAGCGUUCCUUGCCUCAUGUUUAUCUUUCACAUUUUAUACAAUGCUGUUCCUACGGUUUAUGCCAUGAGAUUGUCUCAGAGUGUUUCAUACAACAUUGCCUUGUCUUAGACAUUCUGAAUGGUUUUAUGCUGUCAGCAGUUGUUCAAGUUUUCACUCUUUACAAUCGUUUUCAUGCCUUGCGAGAUAUACUUUACUAACUGUCCAUUUUGAAACACUUCAAAAGAACAACAUACUAUAAUCUUAAUCUUUAAGAAGGAAUUUCACUUUGCCUGCCCUGGCCCAGUUCUCCAUAUUUUGAAUGUUUAAAAGAAUUACUGCCAAAGCACUGUUGAUAUCAUUAAUAUGGUAUUAUCAGCUUCAGUCAUGUAACUGUCACAAGGAUAGUGGUCGCAGCAAAUAUGCUGUUCUUCAGCACUGGGAAAGGAAAGUAAAAAUUGUACACUUAGAGGAAUCCUAUGAGAUGAGUUAUGUACAGAUGAACCCUCUGUGAUUUUUCCAUUCCAAUCUCGGGUGAAGAUUAAAAAAAAAUCAAUGACAGUUUUGCUGUGCAAUUCAGUACUUCAGUGGGGGUGAUUUGACAACCGUUUCUGUGAAGAAGCAGAUGGUGGAUUCUUUUCCUUCUCUCCUAUAAAUACUUUCAUUCCAGUGAAUAAUUGAUGCAGAAGGGAAAUUCAUAACGUGAACUGCUUACUGGAAACAUCAAAAUUAUUUGAGAGGAGAACAAAACAUUAUCAUUUUUAGAGGAGCUUGAAUACUAUUUAAAAGGUGCCUGUCAUCAGCAAUUUUUAAAAACAUUUGGGUGAAAGAGCAAAAGCUACUGAUGUUUAUGAUUGUGUGUUCUCUGUUACACACAAACUCUUGUUUUUAGCAAAAGGUGGCAUCCCAUAUAUAUGUGUGUACAUAUGUAUGGAACUCCGAGUUUCUUGUCUGUCCAGAUAAUGUUUUAACAAUUAUUAACAAUACAGGGGAGGCAACGGUCACUUGCCUGUUAUCACAGCUAAAUCUGGUGAGGUGAGGCCAGCCCAGCCAUGGGACCUAGCGCUGUUGGGUCAGGUCAUCACAAAGCUUGAGGCCGUCUGCUAACAAUGGCAAAAAUUGUGUUUAGAAUCAUAGAAUCAUUUCAGUUGGAAGAGACCCUCAGGAUCAUCGAGUCCAACCAUAUCCUAACUCUAGCACAGGGAUAUGCUACACAUAAGAUUUUGCCUGACUGAACAGUUCUAUGGUUUGGAGAAGACGUGAUGACAUGGAGAAGGGAAUUAGAUUCCAGUAUGGGAAAAACUAAUCAGGUAACUGUGUUUAGAGCUUUUUUAGAAUAGACUGCUUUUAGAUAGCUGUAGUUACAUAGUUUAUACUCUAAAUUCAUAUAACAUUCCCAACUGAAUAUUUUAAUGUUAUUGCAUAACUUUGUAAGAUUAUUAAGCUAAAUUUGGCAAGUCUAACAUUUAAAUAACAAAGCUUGGUUUUAUUUAAAAAUUUAGUAGCAUUCUUUUUUCUGUGUCUCUUUAUAACACUAAGGGUACACAAUUUUUUCAAAAGAAAAAAUUUUAUGCAAAAAGCCACAAACCAUAAAACUUUAGUGAGUUAUAUUAAUGAGUCAGAACAUGAAAGAACGAUCAAAUUAUUUUCCUCUAAAGUUAAAAUAUAUGGAAAUUACAUGCAGUGAUGAAUUAAACAAUACAAAAUCUACUGCCCUAAAUUCAAUGGGUUUGGUGAAACAGAAUCACUCGAUGCCUAGGUCAUUUUGAGAGUGGAGAAAAGAUAUUUUCUGUUUCACUUAAAUGAACAUGAGUGAAAAACAUUCUUUGUCUGAACAAGGGGGAAAAAAUGUUAUUUUAUAAGAGAGCAGCAAAUGAGAUAAACAUUCAGUUGUCUUCAGUGUUGGCACAUGGUUUCCCAUAAUACCAAAAAUAUAUGUUUGGGCUUAUCUUUAGCUCUUGCCAUUAUUAUUGUUGAUUGUUAUCAGAUAAAAGAUAUCAUUUUUACAAAUGUACAAAUAUCUGACAUUGUAAAGGCUAAUAACUAAAAAGAAAUACACAGUAGCAUGGAUAUGUUAGACUUUAUUUCAGAAAAAAAACAGUCAAAUUACUGAACAUAAUAGUGAAGGUGUUCUCGCCAUCUUCCACAUGUCUGAGUUUGGAGUAGUGUUUUAUAUAGCUGGAAAAAAGAAACUUUCUGCUUUUUACUAGCUCUUUAAGGUUUUGGGCUUUGGGGCUUUUUUCGGCAUCCAGCUUUAAAGACUUUUUGUACUUUUGCCCUUGUCCAUUUUGAAUUGCCAGUGCAUUUUCUGCCUUGUUAUACAAAGUGUUUUUUAAAAUGCUCAAAAUGGGAUGGCCUUUUAAAGUGUACACCCUGCUGCUUUCUGAGGAGGAGGGUAAAGUUUCAUUCUUAAUGUCUCUGAAAUUCAGUUGGAGCCACUGCUUUUUGUAAUGUUCCUACAAGCAUGGAGCACUGCUGUGUAACCAUUAAUUCUGAACAGCUGCAAGUUACUACCAAUCAGAACUAUACUACAAUUUUGUUAAUGCUAAACUGGUAUUUUUUUCAGUGUUUCUCUAUAGUUCUACCCUAUAGGCUGCAGUUAGAUCUCAUUUUAAGCAAAUGUCAUGACCUAUGAUGCCAUAGUGUCAUUAAGAUAUGCAAAUAUUGACUUUUUAAUUGAGAUCACUUUAUUGAUGCUAAAAUAUUUAGAUGUGUUUUAUUAUUCAUUUAUCCUCCUGUAGUAGGAUAUGUUUAGGCAAAGCUGUACAUAUUUAAUUAUUUCAAGUUUGCUUGAUGAAUCAGUCCCUCCAAACUGGUAAUUAAUUUAGAUGGUAUUCUCUGAACUCUGAACUCCUUGCAAUAUAUCAUCUUUUUGCUGCUGCACUGCACAGGAAAGUGGAGUUUUGGCAAUGCCGCAUGAACAGGAACCAUUAAUCAUCGCUGUGUGAUGCCUGUGUGCAUGCAACCAAAUCUAGCAGUAGCUUUACUGCAUCCAAUAGCGUAGAUGUUAGAAAUAAAAGGAUCAAACUCAACUGAAAUCUGAAGUAUUUUGUCUAAAACUAAUUAGUCUUGUUUCCUAAAGGAAUGACCCUUAAAACAUGAGGCUCUGCUGACUGAUGGCAAUCUUAUCUAAAAAAGGUUGUGCUCUGAAAGAUACUGACUUUUCAAAAGACUCAUUGAAACCAUGCCCUGAUUCAGACUAAGCUUUGAUCUCAGUUCCUGCACAUCCUAGAGUAUCUAUUAUAGCUGUAUGAAAGAAAGAGGCCGUGAGAAUCCCAGCAACAGGAAAAAAGACAAAACCUUUAAUUCAAUUACCAUAUUACCAAAGAAUAAUCCAGCUGGAAGACACAGAUCUAUGGGUAUUAGGGAACUGUAGCUGGGUCUUUAUAAAUCAUCAAGUCCAUCUCCCUGUCACAAAGCAAGAUGAUUUAAAUCAAUGGUCUUUUUUUCUGUCAGAUAUUCAUUUAACGUGCUACACCCUUACAUGUCCUGCAAGAAUAGAAGCUUAACCAUUUCCUUAUGUGUUUCACUAUUUCUCAAACAUCAAAAUCUUGUUAACUCUGCUGCACCAUUGCUUCUAUUGUUUAUAGAGGCACUUUGGGAAGCAUUUUGGUAAUUUUAUCUUCUUGUCAGUCACUCUCCAGUACAAGGAAAACAAAUUUCUUUUCCUAUUAUCAACCUCUAAUAGUACAGCGUCAUCUAAUCCUUUCUGACUUCUUCAUAUGAACAAAAACUAGCAGAACACCAGAGAUAAAAAGGAUAUAGAAGAAACUUGUUCUUCUGUAAUAGCUAUCUAGGUGAAACUAAAGAAGCCACAUCACAAUUGCAAGUGGAUGCUAGAUAGUGUGAUGUGCAAAGGGGUCUCAUGAAGAAGCAGGGAAUAUAAGUUCUCUCUUCACAAGCUUUACUGCUCAGUCUGCGGAGGAAACAAAUGAGCAUGCAGUUUCCUGUAGAGCAUCAUGUAUCCUGUGACAUACCAGGAAAAGACACACCCUGACAUUUUUUCUUCUACUAGAAAAUCUGAACAUUUUGUACAAAAGGCCUUUUUGUGUUCUAAAACCUUUGGUUUCUUGAUGAAUAUUACUGUUUUCUGGUUAUGCUGCAAUAACACUGAAAACCAUCAGCUAAGCUUUGAAUUGCAUUGGGUACAGUAGAAAUGCAUAUAUAUUUUUGUAAAUAUAUGUAUAUAUUACUAAAGCAUAAGCUGCUUCUUUCUUUACAGAAUGUGCAGCCAAUAAGUACCUUUUUAUUUGGAACAUUUGACUCAGGGCAGAACAUGCAAUCUCGUGUUGUUGCACAAACCAUCAACAGAUUUUUCUUGGUCUGACUGCAUCUCUGCUGUACAUCACAUUGUGUAUUGAAGGAUCCGCAUUUUCUAUUUCAAGUGAUUUUGGCACCCAGGUUGAAAUACUUGAUGUGUACUGCUAGACUGAGCAAAAUAUAUGCAAGUUGCUAAAAGAAGAGAGGUUUUCUUGCUUAUGUAAAUCUGCAGAGUGACUCUUCAUACUUGGCUUAAAAAUUAGAAGAUGUAAGUUGUCCUGGGAAAGGGCUGAAUUGCAACCAGAAGCACCUGUUUUUCUGUUGUCCAAACUACCAUGAAACCAGCAUAUAGGUUUUCUGGGACUCAGAACAUAAAAAGAAAUUAACAUCGAAGAGGCCACAUUCUGCCACGACAUGCUUCGGUUUCUUCAUGUGAUAAUCAGCCCACCAAAAUAAUCAAUAGGUUGUCAGUCAGACCUUGGAUGCCCUCCAGGCCCCUGUGGAAUAAUGUCUGUUAAAUGGACAUGGAAAAUGGGAUCCUUAUGAUUUUUGCCUCAGACCGUGGAAUAACCGUUUUUGCUGUCGGCUGCAGCGGAUUCACUUUUUAUUGCUGACACAGCCUGGGAGCCUUGGAAGAUGUAAAGGUGUUUUUACUGGGUCUUGGUCUCACUUAUGAGACCUUUUAGCUAAAAUGGACUUAAUUCUGUCUCCAUUAUCACUUUCCUCAGCUGGUCCAGAGAACCAAGGCUGUUUGGGAAAGUCUGUGUUGACAGCAUUCUGACAUACUACAUGUGCCUUUGAGGUUUUGAUUUCCGGAUGUCUUCUUUGUAAAUCCAUACUCUUCCAGCUGGAUACUUGGAUCGUACCUAUGUGGGGAAGUCUGUGCAGCCUCCUCUCAGUAACAUGGCCUGGAUUACAGCAGCUGAUCUGAGAGGAACAUGAGUGUAACCAUUGUCUGACCACCAGCCAGAUUAAUCAGCAACCAGGGGUUACCAAAAGACUCUUGAAAACUGGUGGCAACCUGAAAAGAAGCAUGAAAACUUGUGAUUACAGAGGAGAGACAUUAGAAUGACAAAAGUGCCAGACUGGCAGUCAAGCCACGUUUGACCUUACCAAGACUCAGCUGAUGUCCACUGCCACCUCUGCCCAGGCCUGAGAACCAUGACUCCAUGAGGCGGCACAAGUAGCCUGCAAACUGACAGCACAAGUGUUGUGGUUUAUCUUUUGUAUUCCUGGUACUAAUCCUGGAUGUGUAGUUCAGUGAUUGCCAUCCUGAAUAGCCACAACUCUAAAAUCCCAAGCAGAUUGGCAACAAAAUAAAUUUUGUAUACACCUGUGGUGGAUGCAGAGGGCAUCUGUGCCUCACUGGUGACCAUACUCAUCUGGGAGUAUUGGCCAGGUUGCUCAGCAACAAGGGGAGGCUCAGCUGGGUACUUCAAGAUGCAGCCACAACCAGGGCAUGGAGCUCCGUGGAUGUUCCUCUGCUUUGUCUUGACUCAGCUCCUGAGGCCUCAUGGGACAAUAACUCUGUUUUGUGGACUUAAUGGGGUCUCAGUACAGAUCUAAUUAGAUCCAAUAGCUGACAAUGGAUAGAAUGACAAUGUGUCCUGCACAUCACUAUGGAAAUAAAAUGAAUCAAGAAAAUAUGUUCUUCAGGCCAAGAAAAAAAUGAUAAGUCUAUUAGUUUUUCACUUAAAUCACAAAACAAUAUAUAUUAGCUUCAACCAAUUGCAGGAGCCAAAUAGUUUUUCAGGUACAAUCCACUUGGAGUUACAGUAGCAGGUGUCACAAUCUACAGAAAGAACUUAUGCAAGUUUUUUUUUUAGUAUAUAAAAGCAUAAAGCAUACAUAGUUUGACUUUGGAAAAUUAUAUGUAUCCCCCAGUGAACUGUCAGGUGGAAUCACAACUGGUUCCAGCUGUCAGUGAUGUGACCCAAGUCAUCAGCCCCAUGACAUGGUACAAACCAGAAUGGCUUGGGAGCUGUGCUGGAGUUCAGCCAUUAACUGCUUUUUUUACUACAAUAAGGACAAUUAAUAUUAAAAAGUGCAUUUCAAAUAAUAUCUAGUGCAACCUAGUGACAUAAAAAAUUGUUUGUAUAAACAAAACAGAAAAUACAAAUGUAAAAGCAACAUAUAAUUAUAUCAUUUUGAAAUUAAAAAAAAUAAAUCUGUGAUACUUUUGUGAGAUAAUUUUUCUCCUAAAUUAACCAUGGUUUACAGCAUUAGAAGUUUCAUAUAUUGCCAAAUAGUAUGGACAGCAUAGCUGGAUAUUACGAUGUCCCUGGCCUUUUGAUAUUUUUCAACCAAGUUGGAAUCUGAGAAAUUUGCAAAGUAACUGAUUCUAUGGUUGUUUCACUUAAAUGUACAUACUGAUGGACAGAUACCUACCUAUGUUAUUCUUCCAAAAAUCCUGCCUGGCAAAAAUUUGCUCUUGAUCUUCUUUCCUUUUCUUGCGUACUGUUCCUUCUUCUUGAAAAUCUGUAAUUCUGCAACCUAAAAUGCACAUAUUUUAAGAUGCAUAAACUGCAGUAUAGAAGUAUUUAUGCAGUCAAACUGUAUUUUUUCUUGUUUAAAGAAUUAAGUAUCUGAUCAGCAUCAUUAUUGUCUUCUAGCUUAUUUGCUUAGUAAUUGAAAUUACAAAAUUGCACAAUCCCUGUAGUAAAGAAUACAGCAAUAAAAAUAAAAUCUGUUAAAAGAUUUAAGAUGCUUUAUUUACUUGGGAGAAAGCUGACUAGCAUUUUCCACUUAAAUAAGGAAUAUCCAUCACAGAUGCUAUUUUCUUUUGUUAAAUUGCUUAUAGACUAUGUUCUGUUGGCAUGGAAUUCAAAAGAAAAUUGACACAGAAUUCCUUGGGCAUCAGUCUCUAAAUGAUCUUUCACCUCUAAUGGUAAGGUACCUGGAAGAGGAAUAUCUGCACCAACAUUUUCUUACACGCAGGAAUUAGUUCAGGUUGAAGAAACCUGUAUAUUCACAGUUCUAGAGGGACCAUUGUGAUAAUCUAAUGUGGCUCCUUAGCACAGUCUAACAACUUCUUUGUCACAUCAGUAGCAGGUGGCUGAGCUAUGACAUUAUUUCGAGUACUUCUCUAAUGUGUAUGAUGAGAAAGAGAAUCCACUGAAAUCUUUUGAAUUAAGAAAAACAUACAGUAGUAAAUCCUGUCUUUUUCACAAAUAUUGAGUGACAUGUCCAAAUAGUUUGGAGCAUCCCACAAACACUUAAAAGUCCUGUAUUACUACAGCUUAACAUCGCAGGACUUGGCCCUGAAACAUUUUUUGAUGAAAAUAAUUUUAAGUUCCAGUAGUUUGCACCCUGAAAAUAAAAAUGUCCAAAAGAUACUUUCUGUUUGGGUUUUGAUAGGGCGUUUUGUCAGUUUGGUGAGAAAUGGCUUAUUUUUGAUGGCCUGCCAGAAGACCACCCAAAAUUGCACAAAGUGACUGUAAGGUAGAAUAAAAGAAGAAGGAAAAAGAAAAAAAAUCUCUCAACAAUGAGAACUGUCCAAAUAAAAGAAGAUGAUAAAGGUCAUAAAUCAGACAUUACUGUUGCCCUUAAGUCAGCAACUGUCAAAAAAAUUUUCCUUUGCCAGAAACAUGCUCUGCAUUUGUCAGUGCCCUCCAUGCGUGGGCCAAGUAGAUCUCAGGGAAAAGAGCAACCAGAAGCCUGAGAGACUCCAAGCAGAAGCUGUGAGAGACAAAGCACAAUUUUGCCCAUAGAUCUUACUGAGAAUAGAAUUUUAAAGCCAUUCACGUAGGACUGCCUGCAACUUUCCUAAUGAACAUUGUUUUCUUUUUUUUUUUUUAAUAAUAAUGUGAUAUGCUGAUUUGUUAAGGAUGUCCUGAACGAUCCCGCUGAUUGGAAUUUUUGUGAAUUUAGGAACAGUGAAGCAUUAUCAAAGGGUUAACCUUCCUGUCACUGAUAAAAAGGAGUGGGGAAACUGGAAAUCACAAAACCAUUUAUGGAACAGUAACUUUCCCGUGAAAAGCUUGGAGACAUUACAUUACUGCUGCAAGCUUCAUCUUGCUUCUUUUGCCUGUGACCUUGAGCCAAAUCAUCUUGCCAGAACAAGUCCCCAUCUGUCACAGAGCUGCAGAAGAGCCGAGGGUGGAAGUGUGCAAGGCUCCUUCCAGCUGUCUGAAGGCCUCAUCUGCCUUUUCUUCCUGAUGAGAAUAUGGAAGAGGAUUUUUACUGCUGAAAAAAAAAAAAAAAAAAGUGCUCUAGAAAGUUUUGGUGGAAAAAAAUCAAUGACUGAAUGAAGAAAGAAAAAUUAUGUUGAAAAUUAACUUCAUACAAAGAUGUGAUUUUAUGAAGAACUUCAUCUUUAUCUGACAAAUUUAGAUCCUUUGAUCCAGUAAAAUGCCUGUAAACAUGCAACCCUUGGAAAACACCAGAUAGGAUUACACUCUCUAAUGAGUUGCCUACAAGGAAGAAGAAUAUCCCUAUAGAUGUACAAGUUCAAAACACACCGGGACAAAGUCUGAUGGUUUUGUUUCACACAACUGUUCUAAAUGAGCAAAAAUAACAAUGGUCUCAGUGAAACCACAUCAGAAAUAUGCUAAAAAUAUUACACGUCUUUAAGUACCAAUGGACAAAAGGAAGGAGAGGAAAACUCAUGAAGAUGGAGAAUAUAUAUUGUAAAAGAAUAAAUAUCAUGCUUUGAGGAAAGAAAAUGAAGCCCAAAAUUAGAACUAUUUUUUAUAAUGAUGUCUGUUCUUCUCCCCUGCUACUGCUUAGCCACAAAGUAAACCUGCUGAAAAGGAAAUUAACUCUGGUAUGUCCACCUCAUAUCAUUUAAACACAGGCUGACAUGAAAUAGCCAAUAGAAUCAAUUGAAUCAAUAGUCUGCAUUUGAAAUUCUAUUUAGAAAAGCACUGAAGAAAACAGAAACUGAAUUAUGAAAAGAAAAAGUGGCAUUGAAGACUAAGAACUAUUUCUGACUGAAUUAAAAAAAGACUUUAUAAUGUGUUUCAUCUGCUUAUUUUGUUCAUGUUUAUUUAUAUUUAUAUUAUCUAUGAAGGAAAACUCCCUUUUAAUGCCAAUAUAUAUAGCGCUUUCAAGACAGAGUAUUUGUAUUAAAAGAAGCUGGCAGUCAUGCCAAGAUGCUGCAGUGAUUGGCAGCAGCAUAAAUCACAAAUAGAUGUAAGAUACCCAUUCAUUCCCCUCUCCCAGCCUGUAAUAGUCUUGUAAGCUAUUUUGUCAUCUCAUCUCAUCUCAUCUCAUUCUGCUGUUCACAAGCAUGUUGUGUGAAGCAGCCAUGCCAAAAUGAAAGGAGAAAUGUAGGUUGUAAAAUGUGUACAAAACAUUAUGAUAUUUUUCCUAGCUGGUUCAUCUAGCAGCAUAAAAACACCCUUGAACUGUCUUGUCAAAAAGGAAAAGAUAUAAAGAAACAUUGCGUCAGAAUUCAGUGUUGCAUAAUAGCCUAAGUUACUUUCAUUACUUAAAAAUAGUUUUUCAACCCUUUUUAGACAAAGAUUUGAGAAUGUCUUCACACUUUCAUGUAUUGUGGUGACUGUGUGCUUUCUAAAUUUUUCAUUUCUUCAACUGUUCACACAUUCUGUAAAGUUUCUGUUUAAUCUUUCUCUUUUCCUUACCCCAUUUGAUCAAUUUUUGUGAAGUUACUUUACUUUAGAUAAAAUUUAUUUCAAUGCAAAUCACUUCUAAAGGUUGAAUAAAAAUCAGAAUUCUUACUAUGCUUACUACGUUUUUCUGUAUUUUAGCAAAAAAGUCUGUUCAUACCCUUUCAAAAAACCUGAUGUGUUUUUAAAAAAUAGACAUAUUUCAGGAAAGUGGAGGUGAAGCCCUUCAUAUUAAUUCCUUUUUAAACUCUGAUCUCCUUUUUAAUUUUUGUGUACAGUCUAGCUGAAAAUAUCUUGCCUUCUUGACUGUAAAACAAAGGGCAUUUGCAUAGUUAUCUGAAGUGUUUAAUAAUUCUUGCCUUCCCUGUGAAAUUAAGCUGAUCUGAUUUUGGUUGAAGAAGUGAUUGAGUGUUUCAUUAUUCUGAGUGAUGGCAUGCUGGUUUCUCAUAGAGAGGCAGGCAGGGUGGGCGAAGAAGUAAGCGAGCGCAAAGCUGCACUGCUCACCCUGCUCACCACUCUUCAUGUGGUUGCUCUGAGUGGCUUUUUUUUUUCUCUCUCUUUUCCUCAAUUCACUUUGUUUCUUUUUAGAGAUUUUUAUGCAAGUAUUGUCCAAAACAAAGCAAACUAUAUAUUAAGGUUGAGUUAAAUAAGAAGCUUUGCCAUUUCAUUUUCAGAUGAAAAACAAGCAAAAAAAAAUACUCAUGCUUUGUUUUUGUUUUUGUUUUUGACACAAGCUAAAGGAACAUUUAAUUGUAACUGAAGACCCAAAAACAAUGACAACAAGCAUUUCUUUUCCUGAAGGCUGUGACACAGAUGAUGUCUGUUAUUAUUAAGAUCUAGCUGUAACCCAUCCAUUUGUUAAUAUUCUUUUAUGUGCCGUAGAAGGUGAUUUGUAACUGAAGGCCAAGUUAAAAAAAUACAUGCUUUCUUUAUAAUAACCUUCCACAAACAUAGGAGAUUUUAUUUAUAAUUAUUUUUUGAAAAUAAGAGGGUUUGUACAUUUAUGUGACCUUUCAUUUAGAGAAGCAGGUUUGUGCUUUCAAAGGCUUUUUGCACUUGCUGUGUCCUGAGAGAAUUUAGUCAAAAUGAAGCAGCGUACUUAACAUCUGUAAGAUGCAUCCUUUAAAAUUCAUUUUAAUAAUUUUAAAUGAAAUGCAUCACAGGCAUCUGAAGGGUGAAAAAAAGGAGUCAUGAGUAACAAGCCACAAUCUUUCAAUGUAUUUUGCAUCCCAUUCAGGCAGAUGUUUGGCCUCAAGACAUGUAAAGUGAAUGGAUUUGAUUUUCUUUUGUUUUCCCUGCAACUUCAACUGUGGAGAUGAGAGAAGCUCAGUAAGAAAUUAGCUAAACAAGGGAACUAGAUAAACAAAAGCAAAAUGCUAGAGAAUAUUGUAAUUUGUAAAUCUCAGACUAUGUAUGUAUUUUUGCCAGUUGUAUAAAUUCUGCUUAAACAUGUACAUGGUGAUAGCUUGUCUCUGAAAGGAUAUGAUAACCCUAUCAGUAUAUAAUAAGAAUACUUCUAAUGAUGGAUGAGGUUUUUUUUCAUUUGUUUACAAAUCUAAGACUAGAGUCUGGUCAAACUAGUCUGAGUGAAGAACUAAAGUCCUUUUUCUCAUAUUGUAUUGUACUGGAUGUGUUAUUUGACUGCAAAAUGCAUUUGAUUACCUUAACAAAGAAUAGCCAUAUUAAACAGUCAGUUGAACUUGACAGCCUGUUUGCAGACCCAGGAUAAAAUCUGAAGCAUCUUAAUUAAUUCCCCCAAACUCAAUUGUUGCAAUGCCUUAAAGUUGCACUGUCUGUAUUAGGCACAAACUGUGCCGGUACAGAUGGGGAAGAAGGUUAGUAUCUCGGAACAAUAACCCAAAGAUCUGACAUGAGGUAUGUAGCAAAUCAGUUAGGAAAAGCAGAUUCAGGCAAAUGUCUAAUUUCUGGCCUUUAUGUAAACCUGAGAUGUGUGCCACAUGACCUAUUGCUAACUAUCUCCACCUGUCCAAGAGGAGAAACUGCAUGGUCUGUGGUGGUAAAUAACUAAACUGGGCUCAUCCUUCCUAAAAUAUAGCCACAGGAAAAAUCUGGUUUGUUUAAAGUAUAAUCACAAAAUGUUUCAGUCAUCAACUCAAGACAAGGGAGAUUCAAAUUAAUUUCUCUCUGUUGGGAAUAAGGACCAAGAUUUAUUUGUUUGUUUGUUUUUGUUGUUGUUGUUUUGGUUUUUUUUUCUUCCAACUUUCAAAUUAUCAAAUACAAAGGAUUAAAAUAACAUUAUUUUUAACAAAUAUAUUUGUUUAACAGCUAUUUGUCAUUCUAAUUUAUCAAAAUAUUUUUAUACAACAUUUUUGGGCAAGUUUUAUUUACAUAGUAGCAUCAGUAGAGAAACCUGGAAGACAAAUUAAAAGCACUAUACAAGGUGAGAAGAAAAUUUCUUUUGUUUUGGUGCAAGAGCCAAGAAUGGCUCUCAGACCAUGAAAGUUGCCAGCAGAGCCCAUCUGUUAAGCAACAGUGUAAAUCAGAUGCUGCAAGUUUCCAGUGAUCUCAGGAAAGUAAAACACUGAGAAGAGGUGCAUAGAGGCAGGAAGGUCAUUUUCACCUCAAAGGUCUAACACGACUUUUUCUCUCUAUAACCUGCUCUUAAGUUGGUCCUCUCCUGUACAGCACUGUGAUUGACCAGUCCACUGAAAAUGGACCCAAUCUUUGUGGACAGACAUUUUGAAGAGCAGAAAGUUUGUCUUGAGUGCAGAUACAUUACUUCAUAUGAAUGUGAGGGAUCUUUGAAAGCACAAGUCCUGAGGAAACAUUGUUUGCAAUGAUCCCAUUUCUCUUAUUAAUCCAGGCUCUAUCACUUGAGCAUAAGUGAGCAAUGACUGAAGAGUCAAGCUUGUUUGGCUUCUCUGUCUCUCUCUGUCAUGCAUGUUGUUUGUAUUAUUCAGUUCCUUUAAGAGACUUUUGUAAAAUACCUAUAUUCCACGGAACUAGGUUGCUAAUUGAGGGAACAUUAAAACCAGACUGGUCAGUUGUAGGCAUUCAGUAAGGAGUCUUGUCAAGUGACAGUUAUCUACACCCUCUACUCUGCCCUGGUGAGGCCACAUCUGGAGUACUGUGUUCAGUUCUGGGCUCCCCAGUUUAAGAAGGACAAGGAAUUACUGGGGGGAGUCCAGUAGAGGGCUACAAAGAUGGUUAGGGGCCUAGAGCACUGAAGCAUCUUUCUUAUCAGGAGAGACUGAGAGAGCUGGGUCUGUUCAGCCCAGAGAAGAAAAUGCUGAGAGGGGACCUUACCAGUGUUUAUAAAUAUCUCAAGAGUGGAUAUCAAGAGGAUGGGACCAGACUCUUUUCAGUGAUGCCCAACAAUAGGAUGAGGGGCAACAGGCACAGAUAGAAGCAUAGGAGGAUCUAUCUGAAUAUGAGAAGAAACUUCUUUACUUUGUGUGUGUCAGAGCACUGGAACAGGCUGCCCAGUGAGGUUGUGCAGUCUCCUUCUCAGGUGGGUUGGACUACAUGAUCUCCAGAGGUCCCUUCCAACCCAAACCACCCUGUGAUUCUAUGAAAAGAGAGUGAACUGAAACUAAUAAAAGUAUAAUUCCCCCAAUGCAGUGCAUAUUUGAGCUUCAAGAAAUCUUAGAGUUACAUUCAGAAUUAGAUUCCUUAUCUUAAUACCUACCAAAUUUCAAAAGCUGUAUUACUGCCUUUUGUAUGAAAAAUACUAGUAAGGAAAAAAUAUGAUGCAUAUGUAGUCUCCCAGUGAAAAAAAAAAAAAAAAAAAGUAAUAAUACAGUAGAGCCCUUUUCUAUUGGAUUGUCUGACACAGUAAAUGUUUCUAAACCCCUGGAUACUUUUAUUUAACUUUUUUCCUGUCUUUCAACAGAAAAAAAGAACUUCCUAUUUUAUAUUGCGAGCAAUAAUUUUACAUAUCCCAUUCUAAAGAACAUAUUCUAUGCAUUCAUAACCUUCUAAUUCUCUUCGGAAAGACCAUAAUUCACAAUUGCAUCAAGCAAAACAUAGAAGUAAAUAUGUAAAUGUGUGUGUAAAUAUAUAAGUUAUCUGUACAAUUAAGCAUGCGUCUUCAGUUUCACUGUAAAUGAGUAGAAUUUUUCUUCUGUUGCAUGUCUUUCUCUUUACAUCGUAUGCUAUCCUGACAUACACUUGUUCUGGACUAGAGUCUCAGAAAAUGAUGACCCAAAAUAAAUGGUGCAGCUGAAAUGAGGAGAUGUCUGUACAUACAUAUUGUUCCUGUAUAGCAAUUUCCAGGUCUCUACAAGGCACCAAUUGCUUCUAUGGUAGAAACUUCUCCUGGAGUGAAAGAAAGAUCAGCAAAUACUCAUAUCAGAAGUCCAAGAUACAACUGACAAUUCUUGUCAUCAGUAUGUAAUUCAGGCUUGAACAAAUGCCUGAGCUGGGACUGUAGGUGGACCAAUAGAAGCUUGAUGUACUUAGGGAAAUGAAGGCUGAUGGCAGAUGCAUUCCUUUCAUAAAUACAGCCCUGGUGUAAACAUUUUCUCUAUCUUUCUGAUAUCUUCCCAUUCAGAAUAAAAGGAGUAACUUAACUAAAACAUAAAAGGUUUUUACAUUUUAAACUUAUUGACUAGAUAAUAUACUCACUAUGAUUCAGUGUGAAUUCAGUCUUUUCUGACUUCAGCUGCCUUGAAAUGAUGAAUCCAGUCUAAGUAACUGAUGAUAUACUUUCUGUAGGUUCUUCCCUAGAGAGUGAUCUAACUUCUUAAAUGUUUAUUUUAGGGUGAGAUAAAUUGUUCCUGCAAGGUGCUCAUGUCUGUCUUCUCUGACUAAAAUGGGAGUGUAAUCAUGAAAAUAAGGUGUUUAAGGUUUUACUCAUCCAUAUUAAUUUCAGUUUUACCUUGGAUCGUCUCCAGUUUUACCUGGAUUAAUUCAGUUGUACCUUGAAAACACAUCUUGCACAUAAUAAUGGAAUUUGAUGGAAAGAAAACAAAACAAAACCACAACUGACCAACCCACCAAAAAAAGCACAAAACAACAACAGCAAUAGAAACAAACUCAUCCAAUUGUAGUAGUAAGGUGAUACUUUAUGAGGAAAUUGAAUUUUAAAGUAAUCUACAAAGCUAUAGUCUUACAUAAAUAUGAGUGUAACUUCAUGGCUGUAUUAUAAAGGUUUGCUUUAUUUGCCUUCCAAAAAAGUUGCCAAAUCUUUAACAUUUUCAUUAAUUAUAUUAUUAAGAAGUCCAAUAUUAUUUGUGUAAUAAAAUAUGUUUCAUCCUAUCCAUGAAGUUAUUUUAAAACAUAGUGAUUUUUUUUUAAUUUGCUCCUUUCUAAUGGCAAAUAUUACUGCUGAAGGAACUUCAGAGCUCUAAUUCUGUACUUAGAAAAUAGAACUAAAUUAUAGCAUGCAUUUUUAAAGUAGACAGUUUCUAAAGAUACACCUUGCUUUGCUGUUUACAGUAUUCUCCAAUGAGUUUUAAUUCAAAGCAACUGUUUACUACUAAGUGAUAUCUUGUUGUAGUCAUGGAAAGUGAAGAUUAGAGUUCAUAACAUUCACAAAUAUCUUCUGUCUAGAUUCUUUUAAGGACUACUCUCAAUUUUCUCAGGACCAACAUAAUUUACACAUUUUUAUUAUGCUAAUAGCAGUAUAGUAUUAUGCAUUGUGUCCUUCAUCCUGGUGGAUUUUGUUUCAUCCAUUUUACUUGUAUUUCUAAUCUGAUAACAGAAUAUAUUAAAAACAUCUGUCCUUGUGUUACAAGUAUUUGUUAUUUGUAGAAGAUAGGAAAUAGAAGUGUGAAAUUAAUUUUCAUUAUGAAUUGUACUUGCCCUCAGAAGAAGUUGCUAGAGAUUGCAUAUUUUUCUGCUUCAGAGUAAGAAGUGAGAUUAUAUCAUAUUACGUUGAUUAGAAAUUCACUGCUAAUAUGAAACCUGUACUUAUUAGGGAAAAAGAAAAGAAAAAAAAAAAAAAAGAAAAGAAGUUUGUUUUUCUGCAUUGAAAGAGUCAGGAUUUCUCUGUCUCUCUAAAGGCAAGUACAGUCAGGAUUUCAAUCAGUGUUAGCACAAAUGAAAAUUGAAGUGUGUCAUGAGUGAUAUGAAACAACUCAGACAAUAAUAUGCUUUAUUGUGUUAAAUUUAUGCAUCAGUUAUAAUUGUAUGUAUCUGGAAUCUUUUAACAUCAAAGAAGUUAAAACAAGUUUAGGUAAUCUAAUUUUAAGAGACAUUGCUGGUCAAAAUGAGAAGUGCAUUAAUAUUUGUGUUGUUUGCAAAGUUGAUUAUCAAAUGUCUUUCUGUUGUUACAAAAUUUUAGAAACUUAUUCAAGGCACAACCAAGCCUAGUAAUAUCUGUGCUAAAGAUUUUUAUAUUAGUCAAACUUUGCAGUCCUCCUCAACAAGCUGGUUGAGAACGUUUCUGAGUUGUAGGGGAUUUUUAAUUGUCAAGAAGUCAUUGAAGGAUCAAAGAGGACUGAUAAUGAGACCUAGAAGAUUGUUUCAGUUUUCGAAUGUUCCUUCAUUUAGCGUUUGGGUUUUGUUCUAUGGAUGGGUUUGGGCUUUUUUUUUUUUUUCUUUGUUUGUUUUGUUGUUGUUGUUGUUUUGGGUUUUUUGUUUUUUGUUUUUGAUGAUGUUUUUCUGCAGAAGGAAAUAUGCAAGAUUGAUUAGCUCCAACCUGGCAGCCUUUAAAUCAUUACAGGCUUCCUGAAAUGAAGUUGUGAACAGUGGGAAGAAACUGAACUGUAAAGCUUAUUCUUUAGGAGAUCAUAAGAUUUUUUUGUUUUCUAGCAAAAUAAUUCAUUAUCCCUCUCUCUGAAGAUUUUUAAUUUCCAUAUUGAAUUCAUAUGUGGCAACAGAGUCACUUGAAUAUUUUCUGACUCAAGAAGUCAUGAAAGUCAAGUUGUGAUGGGUUUUUUUAAUUGUUUUGUUUUGUGGUUUUGUUGUUGUUGUUGGGGGGUGUUUUUGUUUUGGGGGUUUCUUGCGUGUUGUUAGUUUGUUUCAUUUUGGUGUGGGUUUUGUUUGUAUCCCCAGGGAGUUUGUCAUGCUCAAAUGAAUGGAUAUCCAAGUCUUUUUUCAGUAAAGCUUUGUUGUCUAGGAGUUAAAUUUUGUUGUUGUUAUCUGACUCCAAAAAUAAUUCAGAGUAUAUAAAAACUGAAAAUAUUGAAGUAAUAGGAAUAACAUCUAUGCUGCCUAUUCGACCGUACAAAUUCUAGCACUAAAAUGUUUUAAAAUGCUCUAAAAUUCCAAAGUAACUAGACCUCUAUAUUAUGUGCUUUAAUAGGGUUUAUUGCUUAGAAUUUUGCAAUAAGUCUUCAUCCCUUCAUACACACCAUCAUAGAAUAGGAUGAAUAUCUUAGAAGUCCUGUAAUGCAAAUCUUUAAUUCCUAGAAGUGACACUGGUCAUGUUGUUGUGCCGUUCUGGGAAGUAGCCUUGAUUUGCUAUAGCUCAGGUUUCCCAAACCUCUCAUAUAACCACCAUCACCAAAAAUUCUUUGCCUAUAAGUAUGGAAAUAUUAAUAUUCUGUCUAAUAUUAUUCAAAAAUGUAAUUUUUCUGUGAAAUCUAGGGCAAGAUGUUGUAAGAGGAGAACAGAAAAAUUAUGUACAUUCUUGAUUAUAGUAAGUAAAUCUCUUUGUUCUAUUUGAGCAGCUUUUACACCCAAAACUUCUCAUUGUACAGGCUGAAAAACAGUAUCUGAUCUCUGUUUUUCAGUUGCAAGCCAGACUCUAAAUUUAAACCAAUACCCAACCUAUCUAAACAGGGCCAGAGAACUUCUGUUGUAUUCUGCAUGCUAGUAUACUACUGUAGGGGAAUAAAAGACAGUAGUCAAUUUAGUUUUCAUUUGAAGUCAAUGAUUUACUAAGUCACUCAGCUAAAUCUGAGGUCUAUUUGCAAAGAGCUUUCUGGUAGGUACUGCUUAGGUCAGGGGCUUUGCUCAGCAGAGUGGUUCUCUCCUGGGAGCUCCUGAAUUUCACCUGAAGGAAGAAACUAGGAAGGGUACUAGAGUAAGUUACUUACAAUUACCCUUUGACUUGCCAUCCCACCAGUAACACUGACUAAUGUUUGUGUGGGUAUGUGUUAGUGUAAGUAGAGACAAGGAAAGGGAAACACUUCCCAGCCCCCCAGAGGUAGCUGCCUUGGUGUGUUCUGCUCCCCAAAUAAUCCUAAAAAGUCUGAGUGAUUGUACUCUGCUGUCAUAUGGAGAUAGGAACAAAAAGAAAAAUCCUCUGUUUCCAGCUGAGAGGGACACUGGCACAAAGUGUGCUUACUGUGAGUUAGCUGAUGAGUAGAUGGGUAGGAGCAAGGCUGAAAUGGAGAUCAUUUCUAAAGAGGAAGACAAUUUCAUGCAGAGUGAAAUAUGUGUGUACAGGCACAUUUACUAAAACUGUAUCAGCAGCUGUUCUGAAUGAAACUGCUGUAGCUAAACGCAUUUAUGGCCAAAAACAUGUAGUUACACAAUUAAUUGAUUAAAGUAAGAGAAACUGCAUAAAUAAAUCUGAAUCAUAGAACCAUUUAGGUUGUAGAAGACCUUUAAGAUCAAGUCCAACCAUAAAUCUAACACUGCCAAAUCCACCACUAAACCAUGUCCCUAAGUAAAAUGUGUACACAUCUUUUAAUAACCUUCAGGGAUGGUGAAUUAACUGCUUCCCUGGGCAGCCUGUACAAAUGCUUUAUAACCCUUUCAGUGAAGAAAUUUUUCCUGAUAUCCAAUCUAAACCUCCCAUGUUGCAACUUGAGGCUGUUUCCGCUUGUCCUAUCACCUGCUACUUGGGAGAAGGGAUGAACACCAUCCAUGCUACAGCCUUCUUUCAGGUAGUUGUAGAGAGCAAUAACGUCUCCCCUCAGCCUCCUUUUCUUCAGGCUAAACAGCCACAGUUCCCUCAACUGCUCCUCAUCAGACUUGUGCUCCAGACCCCUCAUCAUCUUCGUUGCCCUUCUCUGAACUUGCUUCAGCACCUCAUACUCUUUCUCAUAGUGAGGGGACUAAAACAGAAAACGGUAUUUGAGGUGCAGCUUCACCAUUUCUGAGUACAGGGGGAUGAUAAUUUCCCUAGUUCUACUGACCACACUAAUCACAUUUCAAAUAACAGUCACAUUUCAAGUAGAAGAAAUUGCUUCCUUAUGUUGGCAUUUCCAGUUUACUGAAUACUUUGUAACAAUAAUGUUUUAGUGAUAUACUGUAGAACGUUCUUACUGUCUCAGCUCUAAAGGUCAGAUGUUUUACAUGACUUGAGUAUUUUCAUAGUGUUGAAAGCAUAAGAUCAGCAUUUAAUAUAUAAAAAAUAACAAAAGUAUUAUCAUGUAAGCCCAAGUGAGUGCAGGAAGAAAGGAAGAUAAAAAUACUGACAAGACUGCAGAUAAUGAAUCUUCACUCAGCAAAUGGUAAGGAGAUACAUAGCCCAAUCCUGCAGUUUUAAGUUACUAACAAUCUAGUACUUUUAGAGAUUAAAAAUAUCAGAGAAAAAUAUUACAGUAGUUGAUCAUUUAUUAGCAGGCAACUGAUGCAAAUGGAAAAUAUCUAAGGGUUAUUUUAUUCUUCACAUAUAAAGUGAACUGAUAAUAAAAAUAUGGAUUUCAUUAAGAAGUGUAAUCAUACAUCAAGCUUUUCAUUAAGACUACAGAAGUUUUCUGAUGAAUUACAGAUUUCUGUGCUUAUAAUGGAGUUAAAUUCAAUCUAAUGUGUAGAUUGUGAAGUGUGCUUCAAUCCAUGACAGCAACUGAGGGACCCAAGAGCCAGGUCCCAGCAGCUGCUAAGUGAUUGACCACUAAUGUUUGGGAUAUGAAGUUUCACUCAUGGCAGAAAAACGCAGCUGCCAGGGAGAAUGAGAACUGCCCUGAGGGUAAGCAUAAGCAAGAGACUGGCAGAAAUAUGACUGAGGUCUGGGGCUGCCAGAAACAAAAAGACAGAAGAAAAGCCACUUUCCUCUGCUUUCCAUGUGUCUCCAAAAUGUAUCUUGCUGUAGAUGAAAUAUGACAUUGGUAGCCUUAGUGAAGCUCUUCCCAUUAGGAUGCUCUUUUUGUUCCAAAGGCAACUGGCUAUGGGAUACAGCCUAUACAUGCUACCAAAGAACAGCAGCAGACGGCAGAUACCAAGUCAACCCAUUCAAACAGACACAAAGCAAUGCAAUGUGGAGCUUCUGUCACAUUAUGAGAGCAGUAUUACAGAAAGGGAUGUGAGGAUAGUGUAACACUGAGUAAUCAAAUCAUGAACAAUCUUGAACUUGAUGACAGCAUGUGACCUGUGCUCAGAAUGGCCAAGAAGAAGCUUGGAGGCUACGUUUUAAGGGAUCCAUAUUAAUCCAACCAUAGUCCUGUGCUUUUAUUUGAGGUUUUCCUGGAAGCUUUCUUUGUCACCAGAUCUAUCCUGAAUUAUGAACUAUUCAUUUUAUUGCACAAAAUAGAGACAAAGGUGUGAAAAAAACAGACAGAUGUUGAUGAUUAGCAAAAAAGUGCAUGCUUGCAGAAAAGCUUGGGAUAAAUAGAGAAAUGUACAAAUACUGUAUAUUCAAACUAAUGAAAUACAGAAGUUAUAAUGGGUGCAUUACUUUGCUGUCUCAAAGAUUUUUAGACCUCAGCUAAUGUAGGUGAAAUUGAAUGCGGUCCUGAUUAAAAACAGAAGUGACUCAUAUUCUUAUCAGAGUCUGAGGAUACAUAUGAAAAUUUCAUUGUAAAUCAGUGAAGCUGGAUUAUAUCAAAGUGGGGUUAGCUAUAUGGCUGUUUACUUUUCUUUUUUUUUUUUUUUUUUUUUUUAAUUAACCUUACUUCUAACUCUUAAAAGUGUUGUAAAAAGCUACAACAAGUUCUUCUUGAAGGAACUUUCACUCUUAUUGAUAGAGAUCCAUCCUUUUCCUGUGCUGAGUCCCAGCAGAAAAAGAAAGGGGAAAAAAUAGACAAAAGCUAAUGGAUAUCAAGAUUAUGAUGGGUGACAGAUACUUAUAAAGCUGCUAUAGAAUUCAGACUGCAGAAUGAUUUUCCAGCAUCUUGAUUUUUCAUCAUGUGUCAACUUUUCAAAGUAGAAGCAGAAUAUACUAGAAGAGCACAGAAGAAGCAUAAAAUUUGUGCCAAUGAAUAUAACUGGAUGGUAAGCAGCUUUUAUGACUAGAA